UAUUUCCUUGAUUCAAUGUUAUUUUUUUAUUUAUUAUUUUCUAAAGUUUCUAAUAUAAAUGGGAGAAGCUUAUAUGAUUAAUCUAAUAAUACUAUAGAAGUUUUAGAAGGAUUAUGACUGGCUGCUUGUACAACCAACAGUCCGAGAGCAAUUUGGCUACCUGGGGAUACUGAUUUGCUCCUGAUAGUUUAACAGCGCUUUUGUUUAAGGUUAUGUUAAUAACGGUGAUUUUCAUGUGUGUUGAACAGUUCAUUUGCGUCUAUUUGCUUUAAGGUUAUGUUAGUAUUGAGAAUGUGAAUUGAGAUUAUACAUGAAAUUUGCCCUACUGUGCAUUUGAAAGAAAAAAACCUACUGUGCAUUGGUAUUUUGAGCAGCCCCGAAACCAUAUCAUUUGUGAAUUGGAUUGAAUUUCUGAAGGCUGCUGCUGCCGUAUUACAACAUAUAUAUGCAUUGAAUUUUUCUUUUUCUAAUUGUGCAGAUGUCCCAGCUUAUUAGAAGUCGUAAGGCGAUGACGACUGCACCCUAUUCGAUUCUCCCACCUCCUACUUCAGCCGCCAUUACUCCAACAGAAAUGGACCCCAGGCCGGUUGAUCCGGUUGGUCCCCGGGUCUCCCAUGCGCCGAUGUCAUCAGCCUCUUCAAUGGCACUAUCUGUUAGCGCCAGGUGUGGUCACCGCCGCCCCCGCACACCCGACAUGACAUCGACAUCCACUACUAAUGCCUCGAGGUCACAACAAGGUAAAGUUAAUUUUGUUCCAAAUUGGAGCUAGAGCUACUUUAAGUUCAAUCUUUAGUUUGUUAGUUGGGUAAGUAGAAGGAAAAGGUGUCAAGCUGAUAAUUUAGUUUUCAAUGCAUGUCCUUUAUAUAAAGGAUUCUCAUCUGAAUGAUCAUGGUAGGCAUUAGGUCGUUAGUCCUCAAGUAUUGAAGCAAUUCAUAAUAGCAUUUGAAUUUGCUGCUUGAAUUCCCAGGUUCUACUAUGUAUUAUUUCACUUGGCGUCCACUACUGAAGCAUUCAACUAUUGUGAUUGUUGUUGGAUAUCAUAUAUUAUUAAUUACAAUGUACAGGGUUUGGGAAAUGUUAUAACUUUAGGGGAGGUUCUACCAAAAUUUCGGUAUAAUUUGUAGUGUUUGUUUGACUAUUUUUUUUUUCAGCAAAGAAAAAUAGCCGGGGACCUUGUCGCUAGUUGAAGAUGGUGAAGGUCACCCGGGUGACCAACGAACGUAUCACGAUUGGAUACGACGACCAGCAUCGAGCUACACCAACACCGAAGUAGCAUAGUGCAUUGGCCCACGACAUUGGUCAUGUCGUUCGAACUUAUUGCCCUAUGCAAUGGAAGUUUUGGAAGGCGAUGCCAGACAAGGUGAGGACAAAGGUGCACGAUUAUUUGUCGACAAACUACAAUUUCGACGACAUCAACGACAAUAUGUUGGCGUACAUCAACAGGCUCUUCGUUGAACGGUAUAGCAGUGGAAGAGUGACCUGCACCAAUAUUUUCAGACAUUUGAUGAUCCACAAGUCACUCUUGAGGAGGCUUGCCCGAAGGAGUUUGAGGACCGGAAAGAAAAUUAGAAGAAGGCGAAAGCCAACAAGAUCAAUCAGGAGAAAAAGACUCUUAUCCACCAUUCGGGUUUGAGGCCCUUCUCAUAUAGGAUGGAGGCGCGGCGGCAGGGGGGUUCAAAAUUCUCGGAGAUUGAUGUCUUUGCAGACGUUUAUGUUCGACCCAGGAAUGAGUUGGUUGAGUCCCUUCAUGUGACGAUGAUGGAGAAGAGGUAGUUGGUUUUUUAGGAGUCUGCCUCUUAGCUUCCUCCCGAGACUCCGCUCGAGUCUAUGGAUAUCCCCGAGGAUGGGGAAUGCCCGACGGUCGGGAACCUAGAGCUUCUUCAUCUUCGCAGUCGAAAGGCGAGGUCACAGCUUUGACAAAAAAGGUGGUCGGCCUUAGGACUGAGCUCGCCUUGUAUAAGAGCCAGAUGUCACUAAUUGUACAGGCCCUCAGUCAAUCCGGCAUUCGUCUCCUGGAUAUUCACCCUCGUCAACAUUCGAGCCCCUCUAACCCAAGCAUGCCAAGAACUCCUCCCCUUGGAUCUUUGAGCCCAUCCUCAACCCCGAACCCUUCUUGCCUUAAUCCUUCCAGCCGUAUGCAAACGACGACCUGGUAGAUUAUUCCUCUUUUUUUUUCUUAGUUGUUUAGUCCCUUACUUUUAAAACUUUUUCCUU